rnacentral:lncRNA from 1 species
UUUGCUUUCUCAAAAUCGCAACCAAACCACUGACCUCCACCUCUCUCCCCCGCUUCUUUCUUCUCCACCAAACUAAAUCAGCAACCUCAUCCUUCUAGCCAACCGCCACUACGCCCCACUGCCAAGAUUCUCCCAAUUUUGGCUAUGCCAACUCGUGACUCCGAUGAGUCAGCGACAAACAGACCCAAAUCAAUACAAGAGUGAAUUUUUUAUUUCAAAUCCGCAUUAAUAGUCCAAGGGUCGUCUAAAUUAGCAAAAGAAUGGUCCUUUUCAACUUUUUGAAUUUUGAUUCCUCCCUAUUAUUUUAACCGUUGGCUUUCCAUGAAGUUUUGGGUUUCAUAUCCGAAUUUUAAUAUCCAAAUUUGCCUAUAAAUACCCACAUUUUAACCUUCAGAGGGCGAGGCUUUUGGAGAUUCACAGAUCUCGAUCCCCCACAAUACUGAUUGAGCAUUCAAAAUACGGGAGUUUAUACCCCCAAAACAUCAAUAAUAGAGCUUUUCCAAUACUAGCUUAUAGUCUCUUGUUUCCCUCGACUUGAGUUUGAGUUUCGAAAUUGAGUUUGGGCCGGAUAAAACUUGACGGAGGCCUCACGUUUUCUGCACCAAAUAAGGUUCAAAUUUCCCUCAUUCGUUAUUUAUCUCAUUCGUCUAUUUCGACUAUAUAAAUAUGUGAAUUAUUUUUUAUUGUUGAGACGUUGUCGCACUUUGAGUUUUUUAUAGAUCUACCAUUUGGAUGGUUUUCAAAAAUAAAUAUGUAUUUUGUUUAAGUUAGUGAACCUGUGAAUGGGAGUCUUAGUGGUAGUUCGUUGGUCAUCGCCCCUAAAUUGUGUCCAUGACUAUGAUUUGCUUGAAAACACGUACAUGUGGGUUUGUUUGAAACUCAUAUUGUCAUCGUCGUUUUCCUGAGAAAUUGCGAUAUAUAUAUAUAUAUAUAUAUAUAUAUAUAUAUAUAUAUAUAUAUAUUUUUUUUUUUUUUAAAAUUAAAUAUACGCGAGAGUAUGUAAUUUAUGUGUGUGUGUUCAUAUAUAUAUAUAUAUAUAUAUAUAUAAAUUUUGAUUUUUUGAAAGGUCGUAAAUCCGCGUGAAUGUAUCCAUCUUGUUCGGGACUGUUGUUCGUCACUCUUGAUUUUAAGUUUUGACGUAAACCAUUAUCCCCUUCUGUUGUAUUUUUCUUCAUAUUUUGGUUCCUCCUUUGUUUGUUCUGAUCUUGAUAAAUAUGUGACUUCAGUGGAGUGCAAGAUGCGGAAAGCACGAUUGAGAUGGUUCGGACACGUGAAGAGGAGGGGCAUGGAUGCCCCGGUCCGUAGGUGUGAGAAGCUAGCGUUGGAUGGUUUUAGGCGGGGUAGGGGUAGGUCGAAGAAGUACUGGGGUGAGGUGAUUAAGCGGGAUAUGGAACAGUUACAGCUCACCGAGGAUAUGACCCUAGAUAAGAAGGUCUGGAGGACGCGAAUUUUGGCAGAGGAUUAGGGCCAGUUUGGGUCGCUAGUGUAGGAAAUUACUUGGUGGGUGGGGGUUUUAUUCCUGUUAUGAUUCCGUGUUUCGUGUUUCAUGUUUUAUUAUGAAUCUGUGUGCUUUCCUCUGCUUUCCUCUGUUUUAUAUUACUUAUGGGUGCCGUAUUUAUGUUAUGUAAUCUGCUUCUGCGCUUUACUAUGUGUUUGUAUGGUAUCUCGUGCCUUGAGCCGGGGGUCUAUCGGAAACAGCCUUUCUACUUCAUCAGAGGUAGAGGUAUGGACGCGUACAUCUUACCCUCAGACCCCACUAGGUGGGAAUACACUGGGUUUGUUGUUGUUGUUGUUGUAAGUCUAGAAUAUUAUUUUGAUUUAAUCUUCAUUCGUUGAACACGUGGCUGUUUUGAGUAUGUAAAAUGUGAAACUCCAUUCUAGUUCCAUUUUAUUAUCAAAUAUGAGUUUAAGGAAACGGAAAAGAAUGCUGCCCUCAAAAUUUAUUUUCCAGUGAAUACUUUGUCUUGUGUAUAUCUUGUUAUUUUCACGAUUGGGUCCUAGGAAGAAUAUUGGAGUCAGUACCAUCUUGCUCUAUCUCAUCUCGUAUGAUUUUAUGUGUGGCUGUUUCGUGUGCUUCUUUAAGUUAUAGGUAUUUUUACGGAGUUUGGUGCUAAUUUUUUUUCAAAGAAUCCGUUGAAAACUUGUUUGGUUUGAAUCCGAAAUAAUUGUGUUUUUGCCGAACUUAAUAUGAAAUAUCUAUGUGCGUGAAUUAUGGUUGAAAUGCUCUUGUUGUUCAAAUGAUGGGAAAUUUUGUUGUCUAUGAAACUAGUUAGAAUUCAGAUUUGAGAUUUUAUUGUUAGAGGAAUCUAUUGAGUUUAACCAAUUGAGACGAAAGGUAACUUAUAGUAAAAGGCAUAAUAUGGAACCAAGGUGAGGAAUUUAUGCGGCCAGGGAGUAGAACGAGCUAUAGAAAUGUCAAAUAAUUGCAGCAAUAAUUUCUCAGAACAUAACAUUGUCUUUUAAUUACCAAUAAAAUAAUUUAGAGAUCCAUUUGUAUAAGAUUAAAUCAUGUAAUUAGGCAGCUCAUUAGACUUCCUUUAAAAUGAGGUCACUGGUCAAAAUUAAUCCUAACUUCCUAGUGAAUAUGCCAAAGUCCCGAGAUAUGGUGUGAUUAGAAUUUCUAGUGACACAACCCUCUGCUUAUACGUUUACUUCCCUCUCGUGAAAUGGUUGUUUAUGUCCCCAAUUUGUUUGAACAAGUUCUGCCCGUGUUAAUAUAUUUGAUUUAUUAAACAUUAAUGGACUCUUUGCUAAUGAAUAUUCAAAUUCUCAACUACGACUCCUACAAUUUGGUGAAUGCCUUGUCAAUUUAUUUAUAUCGUACAUUUUGCGAUUUAUUAAGUGAUCUCUAAUCCUUAUCUCUUUUUUUUAUAUGUAAACUCGGGAGUUGGAAUUCCGCAACGGAACUCAUUUUGACCCAACAUCGGGUCAAUCACUACUAGGACCGCAGAGCCUCGGGGUCCCAUAAAUUAGAAGCCCAAACUACUAAAUGGCAUCUCGUACUCUUUAUCUUCUUUUGACUUAAUUUAUAAUCGUCAUGUUGAGCUUUUUGUUUAGAAUAGUAACUAACUCUUGUUGUUGAAUUUGUUUACGGUAGCUUUACUGGAUUAUUGAACUCAUGUUGCUUUAUUAUUCAUCGAUCCUUUUAGAAAUAGUUUAUCAACUAGACUUUUGCAAGUAAAACACAAUUAAUUAACUCGUAAAAGGAUGUAGAUUUUGUUGUUUCAAUACUUGGCUAACUCUUUUUUUUUGAAAAGUAACUUUUCACCUCAAAAAUAUUUUAUAAAAUUAAUGUAGCAAUCUCCAGGUCUUUUUAAAAAAAAAAUGACAAAUCAAGUUUCAAAAAGUAAUUUAAUAGGAAAGCGAACCACUAAAUUCGGAUUUAAUUCGUUCAUUUAUUUCAACAAGUUAACAAUUCUGAUGUUUAACAUCUGCUCGAGUUUUCUUUUCGGAUUUUUAAAGGACUAAAAUAUGAGGUAUAUUUAUAUAUAUGCGUUACAAUAUACAAGGUAAUCUGUAUCAUCAUCAUUUAUCCUAGUUUAUUACUACUGUUUACACAUUGUUUCAACCGUUAAUUUAUAUUUCACUAUUAAAUUUAUUUAUUUAUUAACCAUUAUUUCAAAAUCUCGCGAAUAAAUGAACACUGCUACAUUUUACACACACUAGUCUAUUUUAGUCAAGAAUCAAUGCAUCUUGACGCCUUACAUGUUUUUCUUUCACAAUAAAUGCAUCUAUAUAAAUUUACUCUUGAAUAUAAAUUAUUUAGGGCAUAAAUAAUAAUAUUCAUAAGAAAAAUAAAUUUCAAAUAAUCUCAAAACUAUAAUUAUUUAGUUACUAAUUCGUCAACAUAUUUACCCUUAUGUGUUAUUAAACUUCACAUUUUCAUAAAAAUUAUAAGCCAUUGAAUUUUAUAAAAUACCAAUAUCAAAUCUUUUACUCUCUUGUUUCCAUAUCUUUAAUAUAUCUUACAACAAGCUAUAUCCUUGUAUAUUGUGGUAGUGUAUUUUUAUAUACUUCGGAAUUUCUUUUUUCUGAAACAAUAAAAGUGUUUCUUUUAUUACCAUUUUAACAAAUAAUGAAGCAAUAAGUUUUCUCAAAUAUUUCCUAAACUGAGUUGAAGGACUAUCUUCGGAUAGGUUUUGAGGGGUGCUUAACAUCUUCCCCUCGAAUAACCAAAACCCUUACUCGAAAUCUCAAAAUGUUCUCGAUAGACCUAAACAGGGUUUUUUCACAUAAAAAUGGUUUUUUCUAAUUUUCCUAAAAAUUUAGGCGGCGAAUCUGAAAAAUAAAUAAAUUUUCUAAACCCGAGAGUCACUACAAGCCACCACAUGUUGUGUGUUGUUUCGACCGGUUUGAAAUAGAGAGCGACAGAAUGGCCGAAAUAGGGUGUGACACCUAUCACUAGUAUGCACCUAUGUCUAUCAGCCGGUAUGGGACGGCUGCAUACACAUGGGUGAAGAAUAUGCCUUGUGUUGGUUUGUGUUGAUUGAACUUUCCAAGUCUGGGGGGUAGGGAUACGCACUCGACUAGGUAUUUGGUUAUCUGGAGUAGCCGGUUAUUCAUGCUGUUAGUGAUAUUGUUGUUGUUAUGAUUAUUAUUAUGGCUAGCUUAUGACAUAUUUAUCAAUGAUCCGGUAUCGAAAUUUAAGGUACGUUUUCAGCUUCUCAUAUCUUAUGAUUGCAUUACUAUACACGGCUAUUCUUGUUUAGCCAUGUGGAUUAGAAACCCCAAGUAUGUAGUAUUUAAAUCCUAAUAAGUAUUAUAAUGAGGUCUUUAAUGAGAAUAUGAUGAUAUAGGUUAUGCUUUGAGGUGACCUCAUGUCUAUAAGUAUAUAUUUAUAUAUAUAUAUAUCUAGCUAUAUGAAUAAAUGGUACUAUCGUAUAUCCCUUCCUUCAUUGUUCAUUUUGUAUAGUCGUUACUUCACCUUGUAUACUACUAUAUAUUUUUCUUUCGCUCCUUAUUCAUAUAUAUACCUGGGAUAUAUGGUAUACCAUUGACGUAUAUUGAAUGUAGCUAGAAUAAGAUAGUUCGCCCCGAUACUUCCUUAGUCUUAUUAUGUUAGACUCUUGGACAUGAAUAAGAUAGUUUUCCCUUAUUAUUCUCAUUGACUUAUUAUAUGAUUUUGAGACUCUUGGGUGUAGUUUUCAUUCUAUUUAUAUGUUGUGUAUAUCUACUUUGGACCUUUUGAGAUUCUCCGUGUAAUUAGUGGGGUGGCUUAUGAGUUAGCUUUACCUCCAUACUUUGCCGUUGUUCAUCCAGUUUUCCAUACCUCUAUGGUGCGGAAGUAUAUUCCUAACCCAUCUCAUGUGCUUAGGUAGGACUCAUUCUAGUUAGAUGGGUAGUUGGCCUUUGUAGAGAAGCAUGUGCUUAUUUUGGCUAGUGAUGUGAGGUGGCUGCGUACUAGAGAGAUUCCUGUAUUUGAGGUUCAGUGGAGGCACUGCCCAGUGGAGUAGGCCAUUAGGGGAUAGAGAGAGAGAUGCAAGCCCAGUAUCCUCACUUGUUCGAGACUUCAAGUAUUUCCUCAUCUUUAACUUUUGCGGACUCAAGUUCCUUAGUAGUGGAUGUUGUAAUGACCCUUCAGGUUAUUAGCCGUGUUCUUGCUUAUUUUCACUGAUAGAUCUUCUCCAUAGCUGUCCUAAGUUAAUAGUAACUUGUUGGAAUCGAUAGUUCGAUUAUUUGAGGGUUUGUUUGGUUUUUAGAACAACUUUUCCAAUUGGAAAACUUCGUCGAUUCCAAAUGGCCGCCGACCAAAAACUUCAGUAAAUUAAUUUUGGUUGAAAAUUUUGAUUUUUCCAGCAACUAUGUAAUAUAGAUUUAGGGUAGGUAGACCCUUAGUUCGGAUCCCACAGAACCCGGGCUCAUUUCGACCCAUUAGUCAAAAAGUUAAAAAUUAGAAUAUAUAGGUGUGGGACCCAUAUGGCCUAAAUGGCCUUGGAUGGAAAAUCCAACUUCACCAAUGUGUCAAAAAUAUUAAAUUUAGUGUGCUUACAUAGUUCGUUUGCAAAAAAUGGAGUCUGAAUGAGUCUAAGAGGUAAAAAAUAAGUUUUGACCUUGCAGACCCAUUUAAUAACAACAACAACAUAGCCAGUGUAUUCCCACCUAGUGGGGUCUGGGGAGGGCAGAGUGUACGCAGACCAUACCACUACCUCAAGAGAAGUAGAGAGGUUGCUUUCGAUAGACCCCCGGUUUAGGACCAAUAACAGUAUAACCAAUACAAAAAGUAAACACAUAUAAACUAGUAUGGUACACAAAACAAACUAACAGUAUAAAAAAACACAAAAGAUAAGUGCAUAAUAAACUAGUACGGGAUGCAAAAAAGCCAACACCACGAGCCCCAAAAACUACAGCCACAACACUACGAACCAGAAACUCCAGAACCUUAAAAAGGCCCUUUGGCCAAUUUUUGAGACAUUCUUCAACAUUUUGAAGACCAUAUUUGUUGUCAAAAAAAUGAGUCUUAUGGGUUGAUUAGAAUCUUAGAAACUUGAAUAGUCCAAUUUUUUCUACAAAUCUAAGGUAAGAUUCCUUCAAAUUUGAUAUUAAUUUCUUGAUUUCUAGACAAAAAAAUCUAAGUAUUUGAGGCUCAAUUAUAGCCACAAAUAUGAUUAUUUAACUCAAAUUUCUUGAAGAUUUUAGCUCUCUAAUGAUAUUUAGACUAUUAAUUGGUCUCGAAAACUCAUUUUUCAAAGGUGGGACCUACUUGGCGUUUGGUGUCAUUUUGAAACCCAUGGAACAAUGGUUCUAUAAUGUGUAUUGUCAUUCUUUUUGUAAUGUUUAGAUUGUAUUGUUGAUAGCAUUGAUUGUUGAAGAAGAAGCUUCUUAGAAAAGAAAGUAAAAGCUCGUUGGUUCGUGAGUUGCUUGGAUUCAAGGUAGGUUAGGCUUACCCGUAGUCUAGAUUGAGCUUGUUUGUAAUGUAAUCAUUGAUAUCUUGCGAGAUUGGGUGAGAAACUUAUACGAUAGUUGAUUAAAUGGUGAACUUGGGAUUUAUUAAUUGCUAUAGGCCAUAAAUUUGUAAGGUAUGAUAUUUGACCCUUAGUCUAGGACCAUGGUUAGCUUAAUUGUGGUCUCAUGACUAGUGUAAGAACACUAUAGUUGUUCUACGUAACCAUGAAUAGUAUACUUCUAUAUCCUUAGGAGUGUAUCGAUCUAUAUAAUGCCUAGCUAGGAGAUGACCUUGGUGUUGGGUUGACUUAGUAAGGAUUCUUGAAGAGACUUUCCUUAUAGACCUAGAGAGGAUUGGUAAACCAUUAUGGUGAGGUAUGUAUGACUUAGCCUAAUUCUGGGUAGAAGCUAGACAUGUGUUAGUAAGCUGGCAUUCUCGGGAUUUAGAAGUGGGACUUGACCCACCUUAAACUUAAACUAAGUUAAUGCUUAGCGACCUAGAUAUGUGGUGAUUGUCCAAGAUAUAUAUAUUUAUGUAGGAGUUGUGAUGGUUGCAAUCAAUUAUCGGAUUAUCUUGUGCUCAUGAAUAUGUCUGGAGGAAUACGUGAUAUUAUGAUGACGCUCGAUGAAUUCAGAGAAAUAUGUGAUAUUAUAAUGAUGCCCGAUUAGAGUCAGGAGGAAUAUGUGAUAUUAUAAUGAUGCCCGAUGAAUCUGGAGGAAUACGUGAUAUUAUGUGAUGCCUAGUUCGAGUUCAGAGAAAUGUGUGAUAUUAUGAUGAUGCCCAAUAAAUUGGUAAAAUAUGUGAUAUUAUGAUGAUGCCCAGUUCAAGUCCGAAGGAAUGUGUGAUAUUAUGAUGAUACCUGAUGAGUCCGGAGGAAUACGUGAUAUUAUGAUGAUGCUCGAUUCGAGUCUGGAUGAAUGUGUGAUAUUAUGAUGAUGCUUGAUAAAUUUGGAGGAAUAUAUUGAUAUUGUGAUGAUGCCCGGUGAAUCCGAAAGAGGUAAGAAUAUUAUGAUAUUGUGUGUGGUAAAUUUACUUAUAUUUAAUAUUUGUAAGGUUAGGCCAUAUGGGGCCAACCGCCUAUGUUCUUGAGUUAUGAGGUCUCUUUUGGUAAAUUGUUAUUCGUUUUUUGUUUCAAAUCACUAUAUAAGGGGUGUGACCCUUGUUGAUGCUAAAUUUGCUACUAGAGGAAAUUUAUGCCUAAUAUUGAGUUAAGACUUAGCGUUAUCUGUAAACUUGUAUAAAAAUUCAAGGGCUAACCUAAUAUAUAUACUUGACUAGAAUAAGAAGUUAUAUUAUGAAAUCUUGCCUGGUAAGGACGCUUAUGUGAUAACUAGCUACUUCUAAAAUAUAUGAUUAUUAUUUGGAAACUAGAAACCUAGUAAACUAGUUGGUGGACUUUACUUGAUUAAAAUAUGAAAACUAGUCCUUAAGGUUGCGACAUGUUUAGUGAUGAUGGAUCUAGUAUUGCGUGAUGGUUAGUUAAAUUAUCUCCUAACAUGUGAAGUUGAGAUGACUUAGUUGAUAACUCAUGUCAUGAUGAUGCUAGUUAAAGAAUGGCCUUAUGAUAGGUGAAUAACCUAUACUAUGGGUGGCUUCUAGUUUCUCCCUAACUUGAUGACUAGUGAUGUUAAGACUUGUAAUCUUUUGACUUUUGAAAAAAUAAGGUUAAUUAGUAUGGACUUCGCGGUAUUUAUCAAUGAAUUAUAGAAUUAAUGAUUACAUGCCUAUGCUAUCACAAUGUUGCUUUCUUUAUGUUUAAUUACGGUAUGGGUAUUUGGAAGUGGAUUUUGGUAAUGAACCAUGGCGGAUUUGUGCUACCUGCAAUUAAUAAAAUGGUUGUGCCUUAUUGUAUUAUUGGUUGUAUUCCUUGGUGUACUCUCUGGAGGUAUGGGACGUCGUGAUGGGUUCUUGUUUCAUAUUCUUUUGUGUGCUCUCCAGUGGGAUGGACGCCGUGAUGAGUUCUUUGCUGUGCUCUCUUUUGUGUACUUCCCUGCAGUAUGGGACUCGUGGUAAGUUCUUGUGUUUAUGUUCUAAAGAUGGUUGAGGAUGAUUAUGGCAAAUGGGUGUUUUGCUAUUGUGUAUAUGGUUGUAUGCUUUUGAAAUGAUACUCAGUUGUUAUAGUGAUUAUGGAGUAUAUUGAAAUAGUAUGUCAUGUUAUUGCUUUAGUAGUAUAGAUGUUGUUAUAGUGGUAUCAAAGCAGAUUCAGGUUCGAUCCUACCCCUUGGCUUUAAGAUCAUUUCUUAGUUUAUAUCAUCUUUAAAUUAUAUUUGAGCUUAGUCAGCCCAUGAUGCCUAAUGACUACCCGUGUUUUGGUACUUAUACUAUACUUUUGUACCUUUUUGGUGCAGACCUAGGUUUUAGUUGUCGUCGUUGAGUUUGGAUCGUGUUGCAUUGACCUAUCGGAGAUAGAGUGAGCUCAUAGAGUUCGAGUUUCCCUCUUUCCCCUCUAUCCUUAUUUAUUUUUUAUAUUCGAGACAAUUGUAUAAGACCAUAUAAGUUGUCAGACUUCGAAUUAUAAUUUCUGUGUUAGAAUUUAGGGUUGCUCUUGUACUUAUACUAUCAGGUCAUGGGAUUAGUAUUUGAAUAUUUGUUGUUUUGUUUGUGGAAUAUUGUUGUUAUAUUGUGUUGCAACAUAGGUUCCAUGUUGGACAUUUCUACCAAGGUAACCCAUUGCAUUAGCUCCGGGUUACGAUAUUGGCUUACCUAUGGUGGGUUGUGGUAGGUGCCAUCAUGACUCAAAAAUUGGGUUAUGACACUUCAUUUGUGGGUCUAGGUAGCGCAUUAUGAACUCAUUCUCAUGUUUGUUGUAUGGACUUUCUGUAGAUCAACUUUAGUUAUUUGAGUUCUCUGUGAUGAGAUUGUGCGGAUAGGACUCGGGUGAUUUUCCUCUAGUUUUGGAGUGGAUAGCCAGUGUGGAAUAGUAAAGAAAUGUUAUACUUGGAUUUAGAGUCAGUUGUAUGACUCAUCCUUGGUUUGCUUUUGGCUUGGAUGAGCCUUUGUUGAUUUGUGCAAGUAUCGAGAUGGUAUUAAUGUGCCGUGGUUUGGAUUUGCGUGCAUCAUCCUUUUUUUGGUUCAGUUAGAGGCCAAUUGAUGGUUGAGGUUGAAUUUUGGUUGUUUGGAUAUAAAGUGAGAGAGCCGGUUGAAAAAGGGAUACCUAUAGCAAAAUCCCUUGGAAGUGUUCUCUCCUCUAAGAGGUUAUUUAGGAAGUCAUGCUUGGAGCAUGCAGGCACAGUACGUCAUCCUUUUAAGCUUUUGAGAUCUGUCUAUCCAUUGACUUUCACGGACGAAAGUCCUUUUAGUAGUGGAUGUUGUAAUGACUGAUAACGCUCAAACUACUGUUGUAAUGACUGAUAACGCUCAAACUACCCCUCUCUAACAAGAAUGUAAGCGAUCGUUGUCAAUAUAUAACCCAACUAGGUUGGGGUCGAAUCCCACAGGGAAUAUAGUGUGAACUUAAGUCAUUUGCGAUUUAAUCAACUGAUAGCUGGAUGUAUCCUGAGAUGGAGGAUUUUAGAGUUCUUUUCUUUGAGUGCCAUUAUAAGACCUGUAGCAAGAGAAAAACUGUUAGUCGACACUCAAGAGUAUAAACACAAACACAUCAAUCAUUGAAAGUCCAUACCUCUUAAAAGGGUUUAUUUAUGCUUCAGACCACAUAUGUGACGAUAUGUCUGAUAAGCCGUCACAGUUCUGAUAGCUUAUCAUAAAUGUUAUCAACUCUAAACAGAACCCACAAAUUUUAUCAACUUCUGACGACAUGUCUGAUAAGACGUCACAAAUGUGAUAGCUUAUCAUGAAUGUUAUUAGCUCUAAACAGAACCCCAACUUCAUUUUUGGGCUGAGCUUUCAAGUCUCAAUCUUACACAGCAAACCUUAGUUCCCGAUUUUCCUACAUUUGCAAGCUAAACUUGACUCCAGCUUCUUGGGAACCUUGGUUAACAUCAUUUUACAACUUACCAACUGAAGCGAAAAGUUAGAUUUUGAGCAUACCUGAUAGGUGCCUUCAAUUUGGUUAUACCAGCAAGAGGAAGUAGAUGAAAGAAAGAUUCUUGAUUUUGAUUUCAAACCCACACACACAAGGAAGUUUUUCUUUUGUUUUACUUGGAAACACUUUAUAAAAGGGAAGAAAAUAAACUAAAUAUAGAAAGAAAAUAAACUUAAAGUAAAUAGAGAAAACACGCGGGAAGGUGGAAAGACAGAGUUGUGGGCUAGGUCGGAUCUUUUCACCUGGGCCCAGACUUUUCUGAUAGCUAAUUUUGGGACUUUUCUGAUGACAUUUUCUGACGGGUUAUCACAAGUGUGAUAGCCCGUCACAAAUGUCGUCAGCCUUAACAGAACCUACCUUAGAGCUGAUGUCUCUGACGAUGAAUCUGAUGGCUUAUCAAAUUGUGACAGCCCGUCAAAUAUGUCGUCAGGAGCACUUGGUUGGAUACAUCGAUUCCACCUUCUUUGAACUAGAACCUAACUACAAAAAUAAAUAAUUUGCUGGGACAUAAAAAUUUUGGGUUGCCUCCCAAUAGCGCCUGAUUUAAUAUCGCAGCACGACUUGAUUAUCUUGACUACUUAGACUUCGCCAAGACAACCUGCUGAUACCUCUUUACCAUCUUCAUAGAAUACUUCCACGAUUGAGAAAACACUCAUCUCCUUUUUCUGUGUCAUGGAUGAGUGUAUUUUGAAUCUUACUUCCUUAUCAUUUAGCUUGAACUUCAGCUCAUUCAGCUCCAUGUCCACUAUCACUCUCCCUGUUGCGAGGAAUGGUCUACCCAGGAUGAUGGGCACUUUGAAGUCCAUCUCACAGUCUAGGGCUACAAAAUCAUUAGGCAAUAUAAAGUCGGCCACCUUUACCAAUACAUCAUGUAAUAUGCCCAUUGGCCGCUUUACAGACCUAUCUGCCAUCACCCACCGCAUGUUUGUCGGGGUAGGAUCCCCCAAACCUAGUUUCUUGUACACAGAGAGUGGCAUUAGGUUUAUACUAGCUCCCAAAUCGCAUAGUGCUUUUGUAAAGUUCAGGGACCCAAUAGUGCACGGGAUGGUAAAUGCUCCCGGAUCUACUUUUUUUUGCACUAAAAACCUUGUGGAGAUAGCCCCAUAAUGAAAGACAUUGUCCUCCAGCUCAUGGCUAACCUUCCAUUUCUCGUGAUAAGGUCUUUCAUAAACUUCGAAUAUCCUAGCAUUUGCUCGAGUGCCUCCACCAAAGUUACAUUUAUUGUCUAUUGUUUGAGCAUUGCCAUGAACUUGCUGAAUUUUGCAUCAUCAGUUUUUUUUCAAUCGUUGAGGAAAGGGAAGUGGUGGUCUUGGGAGAUUUUUCAACUCUACCUCCUUCUCCUUCUCUUUUCCUCUUACUGGAGAAUCAUCAGGACUAUCCAGCUUCUCAACUCCACUAGACAUUCUUCUGUAGAUUCAACAUCUGCCUCAGUCACAUCUUCAACCAAACUUUUGCCCACAAAAAGGUCAGGUAAUAUCUUACCACUUAUAGUGGUAAUUGCUAUACAUGAGCCAUUAUUCCGCAGAUUCUGGAUCGUAUCACUUGGUAACGUUCCGCUCUUCCUAUGGUUGAAUGCUGUGGAGAGUUGGCUCAUCUGCUAGUCCAACUGUUUGAUUGCGGUGUAGUAUGAGUUUACCAACUGACUGAUAGAUGACAGAUCUGUCUUCAUGGUAGUUACACCAGAGUUGGUAGCCUCUACUCGCUUCAACAACUUAACCAUCAUGUCCUCCAUGGACAUCUUUUCAGAACUUGUUGUAGCGGCCUCACGAUUUCCAGGAGGGACAUAAAGCCCGCUCCUAUCAUUAUUGUUCCUCCAAUUUCCCUUCACCCUAUCUUUAUAACCAGACUUAUCAUAAUAAUUCUGACCUUUCUUCCCUUAGCUAUUGCCUUGGAAACCCCCUGAUUAUUAACAUAGCUCGCCUCUUCUUCUGUAUCAGUAUCAACUCUAUCUUGAGACCCCACAACUUUCACCUUCUUAGUCAUGCCUGAUAACAAGUGCUUGGUUAGCAGAUCCAUCUGUGUUUUUAGGUAAGCCAUAUCUUGGUCACACCCCUCAUCUCUUCUGCAUUAUUCCAUGGUAAUACCCACAGCAACAGUGGGGCUGGAUACCACAGAGUCUCUAGUAUGCCAUCCCGACUCUAUUUCGUCAUUCUCUCUAUCAUUUUUUAAGCCUCUGGGAAUGUAAGAUCAAAAAACAAACCACCAGCAGCAUUAUCUAUAAUUGACUUUGUAACAGAGUUAAGAGCCCUGUACAAAGUCUCCAUGAAGUGUAUGUCUGUCAUAUUAUGGUUCGGACACUAUGUCAGCUUCUUCUUGAAUCUCUCCCAGGUUCCAUGCAAGGCUUCAGUCGGGAGCUGCCUAAAGUUUCUGAUCUCAUCCCUCAACUUUACCCUCUUGAAAGGCGGAAAGAACCUUUCUAGGAAAGCUCCUUUCAUCUGUCUCCAGUUGGUUAUAGAAUCGGGUGUCAGCUCAUUAAGCCACAAUGUUGCCUCCCCAGACAGAGACAACAAAAACAACCUCAAUUGGAUAGCACUCUGACCCACUCCUGGGUUAUCAAAAUAUUUACGGAUGGUGAAAAAGUUCACCAGAUGCAAGUUUGGGUCAUCCCUAGGAAGGCCACCAAACAACCCCUUCAGAUUGAGGAGUUGAAUCAUAGUACUCAUAAUCUUGAAUUUUACCCCAGGUGCCAACGGUGGAGGAAUAAUUACACCCAUUGUACCUGCUCCAUCCAUUCCAUCAUCAUUAUUAUUGAGGUCAUAUUAGAUCGGCUGGUAAUCUUGCCUUCCUCGAAAUGGAUGGUUCCUGUAAGCAUUACGCUGUACUGGUGCAGCUACUUGCUCUACACGCCUUGGGUUACCAGGAUUUAAUAACUCCUCAUCGCCCAAAUCUUCAUCCUCAGGAUUUGAAUAUCGUGCUUGCUGACCGACAUUCUGCACAUUCACCUGAGCUCUAGCUAAGGCUGCUAAUCUAUCAACCUCUUAUUGGUCUGCCAUUCUUCCAAUUCAUUGUGGUUCCGGAUUAAGUGGUAAUAGUGGUUCUUCGGAACUUCUGGUUCUUGGCAUACACUACAAAUAUCCUUCAAUAAACAAAAAUAACAAAUAAACAUAAAACUAGGAAACUUGACUAACAGUCAAUUAGCGCACACAAACUUUAAUUUACAACCAUAUUCCUCGGGAACGGCACCAUUUUUGAUAACGCUCGAACUACACCUCUCUAAUAAGAAUGUAAGCGAUGGUUUUCAAUAUAUAACCCAACUGGGUUGGGGUCGAAUCCCACAGGAAAUAUGGUGUGAACUUAAGUCAUUUGCGAUUUAAUCAACUAAUAGUUGGAUAUUUCCUGAGAUGAGAGGUUUUUGAGUUUAACAAAUAAUUUUUGGUCACUUUAGCUUCGGUGUUUGUAAUCAAGAGUUUAUGAAAAAACCAUAAUUAUGUUCACUAGGGGUUUUGGUACUUGACAGAUGCGAAUAGUGAUUCAAGAUUCUCACAGUAGGUAGGACAACAGAUUAUCUUUAUCAAAGUUAUGCCUAAAUGUCUCUCGAUCUACUUAAGCAUUUAAUUACCUAAUCCUCUCGAACUUAGGAAAUUUAUAUUCACUGACCAGACUUUACCUUAGGUUAAUCAACCUUGUUACGGUGUCAAUUAUUAAAUGGAAGUUUUUAGUGCUUUCAAGUCCCUGUUGAUAGUUCACUUCCUACUAUAAUUUAUUUCUUAUCUUAACCAAAUCAAAGCAGGUGUUAUCUAUUGUUUGCAACCAAUAGACGAUAAUUAAAACCUCAGAAUUAUCAAGGAGUCCUAUUACCUUUCGAAUCUUGAACACUUAGCAUCUUAUCAAGACUUACCCCUAGAUCCCAUAAUUCGGGUUAAAGGAAUUUAGCCACUCAUAAUGUAAAAAUCAAAACAACUAGUUGUAUUCACGAUUUGAAAGAUAAACUUACCACAAGAUGAAUAAUAACUAGUGAUUCUCCAAUUCGAUCACAAAGAAAAUCCCAAAAUAUUGAUGAAAAUCUCUUCAAAGUUAAUUGUUUUUCAAGCCAAGAAACUAGAUAGAAAAGUAACAAAAUACCUGUCUCCAACUUAGGUUCGGAAUCUCUUAGAAAACCCUAAACAAGACUUUAAAUAUUUUAGCCUAAAUAAGGAAACAAAAACAUAAAGUUUAAUAAUUCCUCGAAUUAGGCGACAAAAUUCAUGACAACUUAUCAGGAGCCUGAUGACUUAUCACAAAUGUCGUCAGCUCCUUCUUCAAUUUUAGCACUUUCUGCUUAAGGCUGAUGACAAAAUGUGAUGACCUAUCAGAUCUUUGACGACUUAUCAUGAAUGUCGUCACCUCUCUACCUCAGCUCCCAUGUUCUACCUUAGGUUGACGGCAACUUUAAAGUCCUAUAAACUCUUUGACGGCUUAUCAGAAAAUGUUAUCAUAACUUUUAGCUGAGGUCCAUUUUCUAUCUAAGGCUGAGGAUGAAGCUGAUAACUUAUCACAGCGCUGACGACUUAUCAGGAAUGUCGUCAACCACACUUCUCUUCUAUUAGCUUUUGAUUUCAACUUUUUUGCUUCCAUCCUUAUUGGUUCUCAUGUAUCUUGGCUUCUACUGCAAAAUCAAAGAUAAAACAAUCAAAAAUGAUAAAAGUUUCUUAAUACAUUGCAAUUAUUCUUAGUUAAAAGCCUUAAAUGUGUUAGCGUCUGCUCACACAUCAAUGACCCUCUAGGUCAUUUCCUUGAUUUGCAUUCAUUUCCGAUAUUUCAGGCCUUCCCAUAACAACUACAAGUCAUUUAUGACUUAUUGGAACUGUUGGGUCAUUGAUCAGACAGUUCAUUUGGAUUUUAGGCAUGUUUCUCUAUUUUGGAGCUUUCACUGUUCAAGAUUUGGCCUCAGACCAAAACUCCUAGUAAAUGACCCCAAAUGUAAAUUUUGAAUGUGCCACCAGCUCUAAAAUAUUACUUUUAGGCUAGGUUGGCUCUUGUUUGGGUCCUGAGUCACCCGAGCUCAUUUUGAACUAUUGGUCGAAAAGUUAAGAAAAUAAAAUAUGGACGUGGGGCCCAUAUUUGGGUGAAACAACCUUGGAUGGAAAAUCCAAGUAUGUCAUUGAGUCUAGAACAUCGAAUUUGGUAUAGUUACAUAGUUUGUUUGUGCAUAAGGGAUUCCAGGUGAAUCUCGAGGGUUUGACGGAGACUUUGAAAUUCCAAGUAUCAGUUGUCAAUUGGUGCGUCACUAUCAUGGUGUCAAGGGUCGCGAUUGGGAUACCCUUGGAAGUCAUAAAGUACCACAAUCGCGGAGCAUUGGUCGCAAUCAAAAUUAACCAUGCCGGGCCUAAGGUAUAGCGAUCGUGAUGAUUGUGAGUCACCAGGACAGGUUCAAGAUAUCACGAUAGCAAGCAUUAAGUUGCGAUAGCAAAUCCUAAGAGCUUGGUCUGGGUAUAAAUAGACCCUUUUUCCACGAUUUUUGCACAUUCUUCAUCCAUUCUUCAUAGUUAAAAUCCCAGAAGCUGAGAGAUCUUGGGAUUAAAUCUUGUAGAUGAUUUGGGGAUCCUAGUUAUCGAUUAUUCCAUGAUUUUCCUUCAAAUUCAAGGUAAGAUGCCUUCGAUCUCUCGAUAAAUUCUUAGAAACUAGGGAUUUGAAUUCCUAAGCUUUAAGGGAUGAUUUGAGACCCGAUUUGUACUCCAUUUGUGCUCAACUUUUGAACACAACUUCCUUAUUCUUCGAGGAACCCCGUGACGGGUCCAAUUUUGGAUUCCAUUAGCGUGCCCCGUAGGUUUAUUCUUGACCCAAAAUUUGACCCGACUUUCUAUAUGGCAAUAUGGGUCUUAUUUUACUCCUAAUAAUGCGCAGAUUAUUAUUUUAUAGCAUAGCGGCAUUUUAAGAUCGUGGAGUGAAGAUGGAUAUUUUAUGGAUGAUUUAAGGAUUUGUGGUUUGGUUUCGAGGCAUGUUUUUGUCUACUCUUCCUUACAAGAUGAUAUGUGUUAUGUAUUGCAUGUGAAUGUGAAUGUGAAUGUGAAUGUUAAGAUUGAUUAUGGGUAAAAAAACAGUGACUUAGAAUUGAGUAAUGAAGUUUGGAGAUUAGAUGGGAGAAUUAAACCGUAAGAUGAAAUAUUUAUUACACUUUUAGGAUCCUAUUGCUUUUUUCAUAUAUUGAGCUAAUUCAUAGAAUGAUUAUGCUAUUAUGCUAGAUUUGGGAUUUAGCUUAGUGUUGGAAGCACGGUUAGCGUGGUUAACCUUAUUUGGGCCAUUUUAGUAAUCUUGAACCUGUAAUUUAGAUGGAGUUGACUUAAUUGCACAUGUUCUAGGUGGAAUUCCUAUCUUAGGAUUGCUUAUGGCUUUUGUACCAUCUAGAAUUCAAUUUAGAUAUCAUAGCAAAAUUUGAGGUAGAAAUUGCAUAAAUAUGAAAUUCAAGGAUUAGAAGUGGGUUCUUGCCGCACACCUUAGGUCAAGAUUUGUGUUAGCCCUUGUGGACUUACUUAUGAAAGUUAGGCAUAGUUGAGACUAAUGAACCUUUAGUAUAAGGUAACUGUAUGACUUGGUGAAUAAUGAUGAUUUUCUUAGAUUAUGGUUAAUAGCUUGUAACUAGUAUAUGGCAUUCGAAUUUGAUAUGUGGUAUGGUCUAUCGACAUGCUUAAUAAUAUAGGCAUAGACAUAGUUAUGAUAUAUAGCCUAUAGAUAUAAGAUGCCUUGUAGGUAAGAUAUGCCUUAUUGAUAUAUUAUGCCUCCUAGAUGUGAGAUGCCUUAUUGAUAUAUCAUGUCUCCUAGAUGUGAGAUGCCUUAUUGAUAUCUUAUGUCUCUUAGUUGUGAGAUGCCUUAUUGAUACAUUACACCUCGUAGAUGUGAGAUGCCUCAUAGAGAUGAUUUAUGGCCUUAUAGAAAUGAGAUUCCUUAUAGAUGUGAGAUGCCUCAUAGAUAUGAUUUAUAGCUUAUAAAUAUGAUAUGCCUCAUAAGCAUGCUACGUCUUAUAAAUACAAGAUGGCUUAUGAAUAUGAUUAUUGAUAUGGGUUUCAGAUAUGUACGUAGGCCUAAGGCCGUGAUUAUGAUGUUGUAAAUAGUUCGGACAAAUUAUUGGGCUUGAGACUGUGUUUACAAUAUCGGUUGGAAUUUUUGCAUUUAGAGGAGAUGUUAGAAAGUUUGGCCGAAGGUUGAAUUCAACCAACAUUCGAUUAUAAUGAUCGUCAUUAAAAAAUUUGAUGGCUCCAUUGAAUGUCUAGGAAGUUGAAUUUUGGCUCAUAGCAUAGUUGGUCUAUUUUUGUAGGGUCCUAAAUGAAUCUCAAGGGUCCAUUUGGGAUAAUUUUUUGUCAUGGGUUUAAGUUGGUGAGGCCAUUUGCCAUUGUCACAACAUAGAGAAGAAAAAUUAUUGAACUUUGUUAUCACAAUGGAGGGCCCGCAUUUAUGAAGAUAUUAGGGAUACAUGUUGGGAUAGAGUUCAUUGCAUUUUUUAUAUAGGCAUCAGUUUUAAAGUUGACUAAGUCGGGUAAACAUUGUGAUUACGAUAAACCUAUUAUGAUCGCAAUGAAAAAAGUCACUUGAAGAGAAUUAAAAUCCUUUUCAAAUUCCAAACCCCAUAAUUCAAUUUUGAAGCUUUAAAACUCAUUUUGGGAGAAUCAAACAAAGGUUUUUGAAAUUUAUUCAUCGAGUAAGUUUCCUAUAGCAUUUUUACACAAUCCUAAGUGAUUAUUUCAUGAUUUCAUCCUCAAAUCUUGAUUUUUCAACUUGAAAUUUUGAGGUUUUGUCGGUAAAGUUAAAGUAUGGUAUUUUGAUGAUUUCAAUAUUGAUUUCAACUCCAUUUUUAAUGAAAUUCAAGAUUUAAACUCCUUAAGUUAUGGAUAAAUUUUUAUUUUAAUAAAAUUUCAGUUUUUCUUUUGAAUUCUCGAAAUUAGUUUUUGGGUUGACUUUUGGGCCCAGUUUAGAACCUCGGCAAUAUAUGUAUUGUUUAACCCAUGUUUAUGUGUAGCACCUAUUUUUUGAUAGAUAGGGAACAUUCUAAGGCUACUUGAAGAGGAAGGCUAAUUUGUGAUUUCUUUUGAGAUUGUGGUUCGACUUCGAGGUAGUUUAUGGCUUAACUUCUUUUAGACUUACUUAUUUUGAAACCACAUUAUGCGUUUGGACAAUUUGUUGAUUUGAUUAUUGAAUAAGAUGAAAUGUCAUUGUGAUGCUUGGUUAGAGGCUUAUAUAGUAUUGAUGAUAUGGGACUUAGAUCCCUUGUUUGAUAUUGAGGCUUGUAGCCUAUUUUUAUGGAUUCAAUCUGAAUCAAAGAUGUUGGAUAUAUCUAUUGUAUUUGGUAUCAUUUUCACUUACAUAUUCAUAUAUACUUAUUCAUUUCAUGAUCUCUAAAGAGUGAUAUUAUGUGGAAACUAAUUUUUAAAUUAAAUGAUCUAUUAAGUUUGUCGGAUGGUGAGGCUUGAUAUUCGAAAUUGUCCGUUGCAUUUGUCAAAUGGUGAGGUAUAAUGAUAUUGAGUGAUUCUGAGUGAUUGUAUAUGGACCUCGCGAGUCUGCCAUAAGUCCCAUCUAGGAGCGAUAUAUAAGAGUGAUUUACCUUUGGAUACCACUGUAGCUUUAUCUAUCACUUUACUUUAUGUCUAUUUUAUCUUUGGAAACAACUUCUGAUAAUCAUCUAGCCUAGGUUCUAUGAAUACAACCCAUGGAAUAGGACCACAAGUCAUACUGAAAGUUUUGGAGAAAAGUCCAGAAGAGAUCAAAAUGAUCCAAGAAAUUACAAAUUAUGAGUCAUGGUAUAAAAGCAUGACUCAUGGAAAGGAUUCGUGGCCCCAAAAUAUAGAGGUUUAAAAUUGUCUCAGGAACCAUGAUUCUGACUAGGACUCAUGGACUAAGAUCAUGAGUCGUGGAGUAACCAUUAUAAUGACUCAUUCCAUCGUUACUGAAAAUUUCUAUGGUUAAUACAUAAUAAUCUUAUUAUUUAUAGGUGUUAGGAUCAAUUCUUUAGUAUAGGAGAGCAUUAGAUAUGAGUUAAGGUCAUAUAAAACCCUUAGCACAAAGUUAAGUUGGAAGUAUCCUUACCGUUUAAGAUUUGGGAUAAGUUUAAAUAAGGGUAAACAUCAAAUGAGCACUCCUCCUAAAAUAUAAAGAGUUAUAAGGCUCAACACCACACCAAAUUAAGUAUCUUUAAGUCUUCUUUCCAACGCCAUCAACCAUUCAUUAAUAUAUCAUUUUCUAGAGUAAAAAGUUAUGAUAGUUUUAUGAAGACUGUCCAUGUUGAAAUGUUAAGGCCGUUGUAGUGGGAUCAGGUGACUAUAGAAGGAUCUGGGCCGCUAUAGCGGGUUUUGGGAUGUACGUACCCCUACUUUUACCAGGUUUCAAUUCAAAAACUUCGUUCAACAACCUUAGAGGGGCAAUUUUCCAAGGUCUAGGGUGAAAGUUCUAUGUUGAGGUAAGGUUUUAGCUCCCUUUCAACAUUAAUUAAAUUGUUCUUCUUCUAGAAUUAUGGAAUUAUGGCAUAAUUGAGGGUUAGAACUAUAAUUCAUGAGAUUUUAGUAAAAAUUUAUGGGUCGGGGUAAUAUUACCUAGCAUUGCUUCUGGAUUGUAAAGUAACAAUUUUGAGCAUGACUUUGUUAUUCCAAAUAUGGAAUUUGAUAGUUGGAGACUUUAAAUUCAAUAAAGAUGGGACCUUUAGCAUUAAAAUUCCAUUAAUGGAGAUAAUGUAAGUAUGAAAGAACUAGUUAAUGAUUAAUCAAUCCUAGGGUAAUCUUGUAGAUCGUGAAUAAGGGUGGUUAGUGGGUUUGAAUUCUCAAAAUAUUUGUUUGAAGAGUAGUACAUUAACUAUUCUUAUAGUUUCUUAUUUAUUAGUUGAUUUAGCAUUUAGAAACGUUAAGAAAAAAAACAUUGAGAAGCUAUUGAAUCUGCUAAAUGAUUUAUCACAAAUAUUAUUAAAUAAUGAAAUUAUUGUAUUUCUUGAUAAUGAAUGUGUUGUUAUGCAAGUGAUAAUAUUUACAAACUUGCUUGAUUAUUGAACUUGUUCCAUUAUAUGGUUGAUAUGAUUAUUUAUGUUGAAAGCAUAGUUGAUUGAUUGUGGUUGUGGUUGUGAAAUGGCUAAUGUUAUAUGCUUCGCUUAUGGAUGAAUUAGAGUUAAAAACUUAAGUUGGUUAGCUGACUAUUUGUCUACUUGUUGUAACACAUGCUAUUGAAUGUUAAACAUAUUGGAGACAUAUAGAAGUUAAUUUUUGAUAACCUGUAAUAAGAUUAUGUAAAAAGACUUGUUCAAAAAUGCAAGUUUGGUUGAAUUAUCGCAUUAUGUGAUUGUACAUUUUAUGGUAUUGUUUAAUAUUGUGAUAUGAAUCGAUAAAUAUUGAUCAUCACAGAAUUUGAGGAUUUUAGGAAGUAUAAGGGUAGGGAUAUUGAAAUUAGGGUGGUAUAGCACUUGAGUUGGGAUAACAGGGUAAACACUAGUUGUCUGGGUUAUUUGGUACAUAGAUAGAGCUUGUCCCCUUACAGGUCAUGGCUAGUAGACAUAUCUAAGACCCUUAGCAUGUAUGUACACGGUAUUGGAGAGUUCAACGGUUCCUUGAGUGAACCAAAUUGUAUUGUUGUUUUGAUGUAUUUGGAUCCUUGUGAGAUCUGAUUUACUUGGUUUAUAUUUGGAUCCUUGUGUGGUUCAGUUGAUGAUAAUGAUAUUUGGCAUCCUUAUAUGGUCCAAUUAAUAAUAAUGAUAUUAAGUAUCCUUAUGUUGUCUGGUGUGAUAUAUAUAUAGAUAUAUAUAUAUAUGUGUGUGUGUGUGUGUGUGUGUGUGGUGCACCUUGUAUGAACCAUUAAUGAUAUUAUUGAGUUGGGUUCUUUGACUGAAUUAUUAAAUUGAUAUUUUAACUUGCUAUUUAACUUGUAUUUAUGGUCUAACCUAAUUUGCUUGGUUUAUAAUUAUUCUUACCAAGGUGAGAAUUGUAAUUUUGAUAUUAGGCAAGACUUCGUGAAAUAAAGAACAACUGGAGUUGGUCAUAAAUUAGUCUAGUUUGUUGACUUAUAGUUGGGUGUAUUGUCUUAGUGUUGAUAUUGGUGUGGGCAUUUGAAUUAUAUGUCAUGGUCGUUUCUUGUAGUAUGGUAAGUGGAAAUUAUAAUGAUGAUUCUACUUGAUACUGGUAAAUUGAAGCUUAGCUAUGUAAUUACAAUUAAUUAGCAUAUUUGGUUAAGUGGCUUGAAUGAUUUUAUGAUGGUAAGAAUGUUGAUGUCCUAAAGGCAGACUAAUUGGUUGUUCAAAACCCAUGGUGUGGCUAUAAAUGAAUAAAAGUGGUUAAGUUUUAAGGAUGUGAAUAAAGUGAUAAUUGGUUACUCGAGUGUUGUGGGGUUGAAUGAACAAAUAGUUUGAGAGUGAUGAUUUAGGAAUAGUGAAGGUUAAGGAAAUAAGAGUAGUUAAUCCUUGUAAUCGUAGAUUGAUUUUGGAGUUGUGUGCUUUCAUAUUUGACCUAGGUCGGAGAUCUAAGAGUGCUAUAUUUGAGUGGAAAAUGAAAGUUACUUACAUUAAGUGGUGAUAUAAACUGUAUACUGAGGGAAACAGUCAAAUUAUAUCUACAUGAUUUAUCUUGAAUUUCUAUAUUAUAUGCUAUGUGUUUUAGCCUUAAUCGAUGAUAAUUCUUAUCGGUACGUAUUGUUGUACUGAUACUACUCUUGAUAUACUCUUUUUGGGAUAUAGUCUAAUUGUAGAAUCGAUUAAGGUUUCAUUGCAUGGUGUAGUUAGAGAUCUUCAACAGUUUUUUUCUUCUCAUUCUUAUGGUGAAAGCUGGGUCUUGUUUAUUUAGCUUUGUCCUUUUAGUAGAUCUUGUACAUGUCUAGACUAUAUCCUCGGGGUAAAGGAUUGUUCUUGUUUUAUUUCUAAAAUGAAAUUAUUAUAAGUUUAUUAGUAUUUGAAGAAAUUAAUGAUACUCUCUUAUAAUUUUUGCAUGUGUUUUAAAUGGGUGGUAGGGGUUCUCCUAUCUAGGUAGAUCUAGCAGGUUCCCUCACAAUCUAGUUAAUUGGGUUGUGAUACUCUUAGAUCACUAUAGACAGAAAUCUUUAAAUUAGUUUUAAAGGGUAAUUCAAUUUUUCCCUUAUCUUUUUACACCUAAACUAUGUUACUGGGUUCUAAAGAGGGAUUUUAUCAUACUAAAGAACCCAGUUACUCCCUUAUUCUUACUAUUAAACUCUCAUAAUUCAUAACUACGCUCUCAAGAAGAGACGACUAGGGUUCAUCUUUCAAGUUUCAAAAUCCAAGUUCUAGUCCAGAUUCUUCAACUAUCAGAUAUGUGAGAUCUUUAGUAAGAGUUCCUCAUACUCAAAUUUUAGAAUUCAACCACAGAUUUCAUGAUUUUAGGUUUAGGGGUUUCACCCCAAUUAUGUCAUUUAUUGUUGAUUUUCGUUUUAGAAAUUUACCAUGUUCAAAUUAUUCUAGUUUCAAACUGUUAUGCAUUGUUUUAAAAACCCUAAUCUUAGUCUAUAUGUUUGAACAAGAAUUUUACAUGGUUUAGAAUGAUUUAAUUUCUCGGUCUCUGAAUUUAGCAUAAAAAGAUUUUUUCUACUAAGUAUCAUACUCUAAUUUUAGGCAAUAAAAUUUUUUAUCUCUGUAUGAGAAAAUAGUAAAUAGAAUUAUAUUUUGGAAGGAUUAUUUAGCACCAAAAGAGACAAAACAACAUAAGUCCUAGAAUAACGUGCCACCAUAGGUUUUGAACAAACAAUGGGUUCUAUAUAUUGGCAAGGUAUGGGGCAUCCCUUCCAUCUUGGAUUAUACGUUGUACAUCACAAGCUCACGAUGGAUGUCGAUUGUAAGAAAUUCCCCAGCAUCAGUUUUGUGUCUUAUUAUUGGUUUUGAUUUUACAGCUUCACAGCUCAGACAUGUUUUAGCUCAUGACUCAAAAAAUGAUUAAAGUCUCACUAUAUUGGCAAUGCAUUAUUAGAUUAUUGUAUUCUUAUAUUUUAGACAUGUUUUUCAUGAUUUGCUCAUUGCAUAUUUUAAAUACCAUUAGCAUGUCUUACAUACUCAGUACAUUUAAAAUAUUGACCGCAUACUUUUCUUUGAUGUUAUAUCUUAUUAUGAUGUAGAUUUAGGCGUUCACUCUCACACUCAUGGAUAUAUAGUUGCAGUACCUCGAGUCAACUUUUGGUGCAUCCUCUUCAUUUGGAGAUUUAGCUGAUUAGUAUUUUAUUUCAUUAGACAUUGUUUAGUUUUUUUUCAAUUGUGUAGAGUUAGUUUGGGUUUUGUCUUAGCAAUUGAUCUUUAUCAGUAGAGGCUUUGAGUUAUAGACAGUUUAGUAUCUUUAUGAUCAGUUGUAUACUCAGUUGAAAUAGUUUAUUCAAUUAGUUUUAUUUGCCCAUUAUUCCACGUUCAAAGUUUCCACUAUGUUUUGAGUUGAUAAUUCCUUAGUAGCAUGCCAGUACCAAGGGUCCAUGUGGGACCACUUGUGGUCCUAAGUGCUAGUCACAUAUAGAGUGUAGACUCUAAUGAUGACAUGAUCUUUGGUCGGUGCACCUAUGCAAUUCAGUCUCUAACUGCAUCGCCUGCUUAGUUUCUGGCUCUUCGAACAAAACAACGCACGUUUUUGAGAUAGAAAAGUUCAACUAAGGAGACCCAUGUAUGUGUUUUGUUCUUGAAUAGUUAAAACAGUUACACCGAGGUUUAAGUACUACAUAGAGCCCUGGGUUACACUCUGCAAAGCACUUUGCCUAUUUCUUGUUUUCUGUUUUGCAUACACACUUGUUAACUAAUAAUAAUGUUUUGAAGCUAAGUAUAUUAGUACUAGAUACACG